GAACGUAGGUUAGGGGAUAGGCGGCGAGUUAGAUCGAAUAUCGGGUGUAGAGUACACGAGCGGCGGACGGGUGAGUAACGCGUGGGAAUCUACCCCAAACUGAGGGAUAAGCAUCGGAAACGGUGUCUAAUACCGCAUAUGGUCUUCGGAUUAAAGCUUCGGCGGUUUGGGAAGAGCCCGCGUAAGAUUAGCUAGUUGGUGAGGUAAUGGCUCACCAAGGCGACGAUCUUUAACUGGUUUGAGAGGAUGAUCAGUCACACUGGAACUGAGACACGGUCCAGACUCCUACGGGAGGCAGCAGUGAGGAAUUUCCACAAUGGGCGAAAGCCUGAUGGAGCAACGCCGCGUGCAGGAUGAAGGCUUUAGGGUUGUAAACUGUCUUUUAUAUGUGACGAAUAUGACGGUAGCAUAUGAAUAAGGAUCGGCUAACUCCGUG
rnacentral:rRNA from 1 species